rnacentral:rRNA from 1 species
UACGUAGGUGGCAAGCGUUGUCCGGAUUUAUUGGGUUUAAAGGGUGCGUAGGCGGCUUUGUAAGUCAGUGGUGAAAUAUGGCAGCUCAACUGUCAGGGUGCCAUUGAUACUGCAGAGCUUGAGUACAGAUGAGGUAGGCGGAAUUGACGGUGUAGCGGUGAAAUGCUUAGAUAUCGUCAAGAACACCAAUAGCGAAGGCAGCUUACUGGGCUGUAACUGACGCUGAGGCACGAAAGUGUGGGGAUCAAACAGG